GACUUCACAUCCUUUGACAUCAGCACAGCUCCAGGAGGGGGAUGGGAGAGCAGGCAGAAAGCAGAAAAACCAGCUCUGAACUAUGCAUGCAAGGCCUCUUUCAAGCCUCAAAUUCUAAAGGUUGCUGCAGAAAGCCAGUCCAAGGAGAAGGACAUCAGAUCUGGAGUACGGGAAAAUGUGGACAGAGGACUCCCCCCAAAAGGGAACACCAGCCCCAGCUCCAGAGAGAGAGAAGAAAGCCUCUCGGCAGAACUGAAAGUGGUUCCCCGUCUGACGUUUUCCUGAAUGGUGGCUCCUCUUCUGUUGUUUCUCACCUCUGCCCCACCUGUCCGGUGUGUAUGCUAACACCACAAAGGCCACGGCUGCCCCAAGCCCCACUGGUGAAAAUACCGACUGGCUGCGUGGACACUGCCCCUGCAGGCCCGGCCCUCACACAGCUUGGGAGUGGGUGAGCCCCACUCAGCCGUGUCAAUGGCCAUUACCAUGGAUGGUCCCGCCCAGGAGCGCAGGACUCCAGGCCAGCAGCCCACAGUGUCUCCAAAGCCUGCAGGAGUGCACCUGACCACGUCCUCCCAACCCAGGUGCGCUGUGGGUCUCCCUCCUGUCCAGGUGGUGCUGCUGCCACCUAAGUAAGAGAUGAGCCUGUGCAUUACCCCGGUGAUACCAAUUUAGACUGUGCCUGCCUGACCCUUGGCUACUGUCUGUCAGCAAAGGCCAGACUCCGGGCCCCAGCCAGGGCCACCAAGCCAUGCUGAGGAUAAUGCUGGCUCUCACUUCCACUCACCAUCACCUGCCCAUGCGGGAGUGAUGCAGGUGAACAGACUCCGUCAGGGCCACAUUGCUUGGGCUGGCAUGGUCUGUGCUGUACAGAGGACCUGCCUGCAAUCACUGAAUAUUUCAUGGGCAGCCAGAUGGGAGAGGUGCCUGCACUCGGGCUGUGCUGAUGAGCUGAAAUACAGCAGUGAGGAGAGACUCCUAGGGCUUUAUGUAAAAUACAGAUUGAAGGCAAAGGAACAGUGAAGUCACUUUUGAUGUAUUUUUCCUAAUGAUCUCAGAUCAAAGGAUCUCAACUUUAUUAGUGAUUUCCCCCAUGCUCUCCCCAAACCCUAUGCAUGUAAAGUAGUUCUUCAGAGAACUAUUAAGACUGAUCGGAGAUCACUGAUAAAACAUAUGCUAAAAUUAGAAUAAGAGAAAGGAAAAGACAACUAACCAGAGGGUAUAUUUUUCAACUGGAAACAAAUAUCCUGUAAACUUACUGUUAUUUUUUUCCUGAAAUAAUUUACGUUUAAAGUAUUUCCUAUCAAAAUCCAGGUAGCCUUCUUAUUUUUCUAGGUAUUGACAAAAUCUUCUAAAUUUUGCCUGGGAAAAUAAAGAACAAAAAUGAGAACACUUCCAAUGAGGAAGGAUAAUGCUGCCAAGCACAUAACUCCAUGAACAGAUGACAGUGCCAGGGCGGAAGAGGCAGAGCGAGGGCUGGGAAGCAACAGCCUGACCAGGACGCACUUCCACGCGGAUAUGGGGGGCUGUAAGUGGGGUCCUAAUCAGAGCAAACGCGGAAAGAGUGGACAGUGGGCCGGCUCUCCUGGAACAGGCAACUCUUACUAAUGGAAAAAAAUCACUGGGAUUCUGAACACAGUGACUCUGCAGAUCACCUGGGUGGUGCUGACAUCUAACAACAUGGUCUUCCAGGCUAUGAAUGCAGACUGGUGUCUUUCUUAAUUUCUCUCAGGAACAGUUUGUAGUUUCCAGUGUACAUGCCUUUCAACUUCUUGCCCAGGCAACCCGCAAGGCUGGACAUGACUGUCCGCCUGGAGAGGCCAGGGAAGAAGAAGACCUGCUGCUGCACAGGGCAGCAGAUUCUACUGGGACACAGCUGGAAGCAACAGGGCAAAAAAAUGCCAAAUUAAGGGGCUGAUUCAGAAAAAUCUUCCAAUGAACAGGUCUGAAGACCACAUGCAACCUGUUCUAUAAAUAUGAAGUACUGCACUGCUUUCCACUUGGCAGAUGACUACAGCUUUUCAAUGGCCAGGACUAGAAGGGUGCAUUGGGGUGGAUAUGUCCCCACGCAGGAAAAUGUGCACUGCUUCCCUGGAAGGCAUGCAUAUCGGAUCUAGAAAGAUUUCUUGAAAGCUUCCACUCUGAUCCAUUUCUUGUUCUUGAACCUGACUUGAGGGAAGGUGCAAAGAUGUGAACAAUGACAGCUGAGCACCGUGUGUAAUGGCUGACAUCCAGGCACCCGCAGCACCAAAGAAGAACCAGUAAUCCACGCUCUCAGUUCCUAAGGUCAGGAGCAAGACCAGUGUGCGAGCUCUCACCUCAACUAUGUAACACUUCCCAGGGGACUCCGGAGAGACACAGGAGAGCCAAAAGAGUGAGAAGCAAAGGUGAAACUGUGCACUCCUGCUGUUCCAGCUCCGAGGAAGGCCGAGACAGGAGGAUCACGAGACUGAGUGUGUCUGGCUGCGGAAGUAGAGUACCCUUGGGCUUAAUCCCCAAUGCCAUAAAAUUGUGGAGUCAUUUUUAUGUACAGAUGACUCAAUUAGAUGCCCAAAAGAACGUUACUGGAAACAAUAAGAAAAUUUAUCAAAAGCACAUGAUAUGAAAGCGAGAGUCAAAAAUCAAUAGCUUUCACAGAAACAACAAUUAUUUAGAAAACACACAGCAGGGAAGAUCCCAUUAAAAUAGCACCACUAAUGGGUCAUUCAGGGAUUCACUUCAUAAGAAAUGAGUGAAGACCACAUGCAGGAAACUGAAAAACACUCCUAAAGGAUACAAACAGGGAUCCUGGAAAACAAAGACGCACAUACUCCUAAGAAAGACAAUGCAAACAUCAGAAGAUGCCCACCCUUGGCUAUGUUAAAAUCUAAUAGGAUCCCAAUUAAAAUGCCAACAGUUCACUGUGCCACACGUCAAGCCAACUGACUGUGCCGCCUGCUUGUAACGCUGUCAGUGCUGCUGUCUGUCAGGAGCCGUUUCAGUAGGGUGAAUAUACAGACACAUACACACUGGUGCCGGGAGGCACCAUUUUCACUGCAGGACAGACAGACAACUAUGAAAACCCAUGAAACAGGUGAAGACACUAACUUUAAAGAUGAAUUGCAUGCAUCAAUAGGAAUGCAUGAUGCAAGCAGCUCUGGGUUCCAACUUUCUUCAUGGAAAGCACUUGAAAGUAAAGUCCAGUGUUGGGAGCCGCCGACACCGGUCGCCUUACUUGGCGGACGUAGGGCCUGUGGGUGGGAGCGGAGCCUGAGCUAGAUUGCCCCUCCCAUCGAGUGAGUCAAGUUGGCGCCUGCUUCUUGCCCCCUGAUUGCGCUGGCGACUUAAACAACCCGCUCUGUAAGAUAGUCUGCCUAGCAACAGCUGAUGUUAGCCAAUCAGCCCGCAUCGCGCGCUUUGAACUGAUUGGCCACUGUUACCCUAUAAAAGUAAAUGCCUCUCCCGCCACGAGGGAGAAGCACAGAGAAAAACCACAGAGAGAGAUAGAGAAAGUCCACCGGCGAGAAAGGGCUGGUGGCAGAGAGGAGGCCUCGCGGGGCCCACGCGGAGAUAAAUAAAGGCAAGAUUGCACACCGCCAGACUUUGUCGUGUGUCUUUUCUGCCGGCCGGGAGCGACCUCGACAUUUGGUGACCCGCACGGGGACUGAUCAACCCCGAGACACGGCGGUGGUGUGCAACGCUCCAGCGUGGUGCUGCCGGACAGGUGAGUUGGGGAUAAGCCUGGGCUCUGGGUGGCGCGCACCUACAGGGCUUUUAGACUCCCCUCAGGCUCACGCGUAGGUGACGGGUUCUUUAAGUCACACGCGGUGAGUUACAGCCCUUAGAGGUUGAGGAUGGAUAAUUUACCGAGCGCGGAGGCGCGACCCUUGGUAAAGGCCCUUAAAAAGCUUUUAAAAGCUAGAGACCUCAGGGUAGGUCAAAAAACACUAAAACUAUUCAUACCAGAGAUAGAUAGGGUGGCUCCCUGGUUUUUACCCACGGGGCAUUUAAACCUGCCGUCAUGGGAGAAGUUAGGCGGGGACCUCGCCUUGGCGGAAUUGGAAGGGGAUAUUUCGCCGGCUAUUCGCCCCCUGUGGGAAAUGAUACAUGCGUGCCUUGACUCCUAUGCCGAGUUGCGCCGCAAAUUGUGUGCGUGCGCCGCUCGAAAAAAGCAGAGAGAGGAAAAAGGGCCCCCGAGCGCUCUCUGGUGGGGAGGAGAUAGAGAGCCAUCCACUCCGCCCUGGAGCUCUUCUCCAGAAGCGGCUCCCCGCCGAGAGGCCGCUACAGGGAACCCUCCCUUCUCUCAGCCGGCACAGGAAGUGACGCCCCGUUCCACUCUGUCGCGACCGCCGUCCUAUGACGUUGCGCUGCGGGGCGGACGGUAUUUUCAUGGGCGGCUACUCUGCCGAGCAGGCUAAAAAAAACGCCGGUUGAGAAAACGGGGGCUGGGGAUUUAGCUUAGCGGCAUAAGCGCCUGCCUUGUAAGCAGGCAAUUGCGAGUUCGAUCCCUGGCACCGAUAAAAAAAAAAAAAAAAAAAAAAAAAAACAAAAAACAAAAAAGACCAAAAAUAAAAAAAAAUAAAAAAUAAAAAACAAAAAGGGGGAGUAAGCCAAGGCCUGCCUCCAAAGGCGCGGUUAUCUAUGGCAUGACAAUGGAUGGGCCCGGAUCCGGUGGUUAGCUGGAACCGAGGCGCGGUUUGUGUUUUUCUGCAGGAAUCGGGACGAGAACCAGAGGCCAACCGCAGACCCAACAACAAGAUGAGCCCUAAAAGAACUGCAGGACAAUCCCUUUUUGGGGAGCCUGAAAUGGCUUGCUCCCCUAUGUUUUACCAUUGUUAGGUCCCCUGUGCUCCUUGCUUCUGCUCUUACUUGUAGGACCAUUCUUGCUCCGAUGGGUUACAUCAUUUAUUAAUGGGCGCCUUGCGGCGGCCCGGCAUCAAGUACGCCUGGUUGCCCAUGCGGCCCUGGCAGCAGCCCGUGAUGGGCACAAUGACCCCCAGGCCUACACAUGGCUCGCUCGACUGGCCUACGACUGGGUCUAGGUGUGGCGGGUCUUCCGCACUCCUUCCCUAUUGACACUACACAGCAGGGUAGAUGAGUCAAUGACGGGUAAGAGCGUGCCUCCCCAACACGACUCGACCUAAGCCAGGCCCUACCCCAUGGCGCACAAAAGCCGCUGGAUUACUAGAAUCUGCCCAGAUCUAGAUGCCUCUCCGAGGGGAUCACACGGAGGGGCAUGAGUGCAUGCCUAUGUACAUCCAGGUUCCGUCCAGUUCACUCCUGGCCCUAAAAAAAGGACGAGGGUCUCAAGGCCUUGGCGGACCCGGGGGCGGCCGACCAGGGUCCAAGCCAAGGGCCUACGGUGGGCCUCAACACAGGGCAUAAGCCUCUACACUCGAUCCAGGGCGGGCUGCGAUGCAUACAUUCAUUCAAAGUAAAUAAAAUAGGGGGAGAUGUUGGGAGCCGCCGACACCGGUCGCCUUACUUGGCGGACGUAGGGCCUGUGGGUGGGAGCGGAGCCUGAGCUAGAUUGCCCCUCCCAUCGAGUGAGUCAAGUUGGCGCCUGCUUCCUGCCCCCUGAUUGCGCUGGCGACUUAAACAACCCGUUCUGUAAGAUAGUCUGCCUAGCAACAGCUGAUGUUAGCCAAUCAGCCCGCAUCGCGCGCUUUGAACUGAUUGGCCACUGUUACCCUAUAAAAGUAAAUGCCUCUCCCGCCACGAGGGAGAAGCACAGAGAAAAACCACAGAGAGAGAUAGAGAAAGUCCACCGGCGAGAAAGGGCUGGUGGCAGAGAGGAGGCCUCGCGGGGCCCACGCGGAGAUAAAUAAAGGCAAGAUUGCACACCGCCA